rnacentral:rRNA from 1 species
AACGAACGCUGGCGGCAGGCCUAACACAUGCAAGUCGAGCGCCCCGCCAGGGGAGCGGCGGACGGGUGAGUAACGCGUGGGAAUAUGCCCUUUGCUACGGAAUAGUCUCGGGAAACUGGGGGUAAUACCGUAUACGCCCUUUGGGGGAAAGAUUUAUCGGCGAAGGAUUAGCCCGCGUUGGAUUAGGUAGUUGGUGGGGUAAUGGCCUACCAAGCCGACGAUCCAUAGCUGGUUUGAGAGGAUGAUCAGCCACACUGGGACUGAGACACGGCCCAGACUCCUACGGGAGGCAGCAGUGGGGAAUCUUAGACAAUGGGGGCAACCCUGAUCUAGCCAUGCCGCGUGAGUGAUGAAGGCCUUAGGGUUGUAAAGCUCUUUCAGGUGGGAAGAUAAUGACGGUACCAGCAGAAGAAGCCCCGGCUAACUCCGUG